rnacentral:rRNA from 1 species
UUGGUGAGGUAAUGGCUUACCAAGGCGACGAUGCGUAGCCGAACUGAGAGGUUGAUCGGCCACAUUGGGACUGAGACACGGCCCAAACUCCUACGGGAGACAGCAGUUAGGAAUAUUCGUCAAUGGGGGAAACCCUGAACGAGCAAUGCCGCGUGAACGAUGAAGGCCCUAUGGGUUGUAAAGUUCUGUUGCAUGGGACGAACGGCUAGGAUAGGAAAUGAUCUUAGUGUGACGGUACCAUGCCAGAAAGCUCCGGCUAACUACGUGCCAGCAGCCGCGGUAAUACGUAGGGAGCAAGCGUUAUCCGGAUUUAUUGGGCGUAAAGGGUGCGUAGGCGGCUUGUUAAGUAUGAGAUUAAAGCCCGAGGCUUAACCUCGGUUCGUUUCAUAAACUGGCAGGCUUGAGUGUGGCAGAGGUAAACGGAAUUUCUAGUGUAGCGGUUAAAUGCGUAGAUAUUAGAAGG